rnacentral:rRNA from 1 species
GAUGAACGCUGGCGGCGUGCCUAAUACAUGCCAGUCGAGCGAACAGACGAGGAGCUUGCUCCUCUGACGUUAGCGGCGGACGGGUGAGUAACACGUGGAUAACCUACCUAUAAGACUGGGAUAACUUCGGGAAACCGGAGCUAAUACCGGAUAAUAUAUUGAACCGCAUGGUUCAAUAGUGAAAGACGGUUUUGCUGUCACUUAUAGAUGGAUCCCCGCCGCAUUAGCUAGUUGGUAAGGUAACGGCUUACCAAGGCAACGAUGCGUAGCCGACCUGAGAGGGUGAUCGGCCACACUGGAACUGAGACACGGUCCAGACUCCUACGGGAGGCAGCAGUAGGGAAUCUUCCGCAAUGGGCGAAAGCCUGACGGAGCAACGCCGCGUGAGUGAUGAAGGUCUUCGGAUCGUAAAACUCUGUUAUUAGGGAAGAACAAAUGUGUAAGUAACUAUGCACGUCUUGACGGUACCUAAUCAGAAAGCCACGGCUAACUACGUG